rnacentral:rRNA from 1 species
GACGAACGCUGGCGGCGUGCUUAACACAUGCAAGUCGAACGGAAAGGCCCUGCCUGCAGGGUACUCGAGUGGCGAACGGGUGAGUAACACGUGGGUGAUCUGCCCUGCACUUCGGGAUAAGCCUGGGAAACUGGGUCUAAUACCGGAUAGGAGCCAUUUUUAGUGUGAUGGUUGGAAAGUUUUUUCGGUGUAGGAUGAGCUCGCGGCCUAUCAGCUUGUUGGUGGGGUAAUGGCCUACCAAGGCGGCGACGGGUAGCCGGCCUGAGAGGGUGGACGGCCACAUUGGGACUGAGAUACGGCCCAGACUCCUACGGGAGGCAGCAGUGGGGAAUAUUGCACAAUGGGCGCAAGCCUGAUGCAGCGACGCCGCGUGGGGGAUGACGGCCUUCGGGUUGUAAACUCCUUUCGCUAGGGACGAAGCUUUUUGUGACGGUACCUAGAGAAGAAGCACCGGCUAACUACGUG